GAACAUACGUUCUUGUUACCGCGAGAUGUAUUGGCCGCUAUGGAUCAUUUGAUGGGAAUGAAAUUUGGAACAGGCAUACUUGACGAUAACGAUAUGAAUCACUUGAAAAAUAAGCGUAUUCAUUCAGUUGCGGAUCUGUUACAAGAUCAAAUCGGAUUGGCUCUUGGUCAUUUACAACAUGUAAAAGCUAGGGUUUUGGAAACUGCUCGACACCCGUAA
rnacentral:rRNA from 1 species